rnacentral:lncRNA from 15 species
CAAAAGGCCAAAAAAAUAACUUAAAAAAAAAAUUCUUGUGUCCCCCCACCUCUGAAAUCAAAAUGUGGUCCUUGAUCUGAGCUGAGACGAGGUCACUAUGUGACAAUGAAAUAUCGUCCAAUUGAGUACUCACUCUCUUAAACUUUAAAUCUUGAUAUAAAUGAUUUGUUUGUCCGUGUGAACAUAAUUCAGUGUGGUGAAAUCUGUCAUAACAAGCAGCAGGAGAGCACCUUGUGCUCAAAUAUCAGCUCAUUGCAUUGUUUAUUUACUCACAGUUUAAUACCAUUCUAAUCAACAUAUCAAUCAACCUACAGGUACAGGUUUUCCCCGUCGUCGUCCCGUCCUGUCCUGUCCUGUCAUACAAUGUUCAAAGCCUGUCUUACCUUGUCUCACCUGUUAUGUGUAACAGUAUGUUAAAGUGUGAGAAUGUUGUGGUGAUGGGGACACAUUCAACGUCCUGAUAAAAGGGCAGAAUACUUUGAUUCCAGUGCGUCAUUACGAUGUUAAAAAUCAAUGAUAGAAAUAAUAGUUAGUUUCAGUCCUAGUUCUUAUUAAACUUCCUUAUGAUGUUCCUAAUCAUCUGAAGUGUUCCUCCAUUUCUCAGGUCGUCUUCAGGUGGUCGGUUCUCGUCAGCCAAUCGUGGCCACUCUGGGUGAUGAUGUCAUCCUGCCGUGUCAUGUGGAGCCUCCACUCAGUGUGGAGAACAUGACGGUGACUUGGUGGAGGGCCGACCUCCCGCCUGACCCUGGAGACCCAGAGAGCGAGUACAAGUAUGUCCACUGUUACCAUAACAACCAGGACGUAGAGGACAUGAAGCUGUCAGCAUACAUUGGGAGGACGACUCUGUUCACAGACGGACUGAAACACGGCAACGUUUCACUCAAGAUCACCAACCUGAAGCUCUCUGACCAGGGAAUAUACAGAUGUUUGAUCCUACAGCUGUGGAGUUCUGCAGUUAUUAAACUUGAUGUUGAACCAAACUCUGUCAAAACGACGACAGAGACGCCGCUGGAUGACAGAGAUCUCCAACUUGCAGAUCCAAACAAUGAGACGAACGUUAGAGGUGAAGAAUCUUCUNNNNNNNNNNNNNNNNNNNNAGAGAGACAGAGUGGAUUCACUGCACAUCCACUUAAUGUUACUGUUAUUUAUAUAUAUAUAUAUAUAUAUAUAUAUAUAUAUAUAUAUAUAUAUAUAUAUAUAUAUAUACAUACACACACACACACACACACACACACACACACACAUAUAUAUAUAUACAUACUUGAUGAAAAGAAGUCCUACAUGUGUUUCUGUCUCUUUAUAAUUGGUUAAUCAUUGAAGCAUUAACAUGUGGUGUAAUAUUCCGUUCAAUCAUGGUUCAGACGUGCAAAAUGGAUGUACAUGAAAACACCUACGGUAUGCUUCUUUUUGUACUUUGUUCAUUGUGCAACAAUUUAGGGAGUGGAGCUGGCACCAAACUCAAAGAAGAUAAAGGUAACAUUCACAUACACGCAAACAUUUACAUACACACACACACACAUACUGGUAGUCCUGUCAUUGACUCAUUGUUGCUCCACGGUAACUUCACUUUUGACAACAUGGACGGUAAGUUAAUUUAUCUCGAUCAUUACUGGCAGGAACAACAUGGCACAUUAAGAUGCAAGAUGUAGAAACUGAAAUAAUAGCUGUUAUCUGGUAUAUAUUUUCAACAGUGUGCAGGUGCUGUCCUUGUACUGUACUGUACUUCUGGUACUGCUUUAUAAUAAGCUUGCUAUUUACUGUGUAAUAUUGUGUACUGUACUGUGUAUAUAUGUUGUAUAAAUCAGGUACUAAGAAAAUAUUUACUGGUUCCUAACUGGUACUUAAAUGUGAGUACAGUGAAAGAUACUAAGAUGAGGUAACAAAGGAGUAACAAUGGGACAUUUUAGAGGAAAGGAGAAAUCAUUUUUGAAAAUACUCUGGUGUACAGUAGCUAAUGAGAAAGAAACACACAGAUCAGAUCAGAUGACCGAAUUGCAAAAGAAACUAAUUGUCUAGGCAUGAACAGCUUCAAAGACCUGAGCUCAGCAAUUUUAGAGGCGUUGCAAACAGAGAUUAAAUAUUUAAAAGAUCAAGAUUCAGUGUGAUGAAAUUUGAAAAUAAUGAACCGAGAAAUACCAUAUGGAUACAUGACUUAAUGGCCUCGCUUUAAAUCUUCCAACAUUUAGCGAUAUUAAGCGAUGCUGUGGGUUCCCACUCUUUUUAAGAAAUCAUUUGUCAGGACUUUUCCAGGAAAUUUCCCAGAGAUUUUUCUUUACAAAAGAAGGAUAGCACUUGCUCACAACUGGUGGUCACCCAUAGGGGGUCAGUGUUUCUGGGACAUUAGCACACUUGGCACUCUCUGAUGAACUCACUACAGUUUUACUCAAACUGUAACAUUAAUUUGUCCACAAAAAUAACAAUUCAAAUCACAGAGAAUGUAUUUUAUUUUCAGAGGAAAUUCCUCUUCUCACCUAUAAGCCUAUGAAAAGAAGCAGUAGAAAGUGACAGUGUUGCACAUACAAUUGAUUAACAGCACUGUCUAUUUUAUCAUUAUUAUUUUUAGUUUUUUAGAAAUAAAGAUAGCAUUGUUUACAUGAUACACAUUUUGUUCAACUCACUGCACUAAAAGCAUCUCUAUGCUGCUGAAGAAAAGUUAUUGAUUUCUAUUUUCCUCUGUUCAGUUCACUAUGCUUUUCCAAACUUGUUUUUUUUGGAACACAGAACAAGUUACACUGAAGUUACAACUUCUUCCUGUUUCUUGGCCAAAGAUCAAAAUUCAACACCACACCUCUGAAUAAUGACUUUGGUUUGAAAUGUUUCGUUAAUAGUCGGUAGAACUGUGAAACAUAAUACUUUUAAUAAUGCUGAGGACAAAUGUAUCAAGAAAUCAUGUAACGGACACAAAAAUGCAAACCUAGCCUGGUUAAUAUAACAAAUCUAUUCUUAAGAAAAGAAAGGGCAUUCAAAUCUGGCCUUGAUAGAGCGUGCGGUGGCUCACCUGGUGGUGUGCUCCUCCCAUGUCGGCUGGGUCCUUGGCACAGCGGCCGGGUCCACCUUUGCUCUAUGUAGUCUCUGAGGAGAAAAGAUUUAACAGAAUGGACAAUGGGAUGAUCAGGAGUUUUGUUACCUUGUCAGUGGGUCAUCAACUCGUAACGGAUUACAGUCACAGGAAGUUAACAGGUGAGAGGUGACAAGAAGUGACAUGUCACAAUAGAAGUCCAGUUAAUUCAUACCAAGUGAACAAUAUCAUAUUAAAAGGUCCCUGUUCCCCCAACAUUGUUUCAUUUUAUUGCAGUCUAUUUAGUUUGUUUUAUGUUAUGUUGUAUAUAUGUUGUUAUAUGUCUUGUUGGUUCUCGAUAAAACAGGUUUUUCUGAUCAGAAGAUUAUAUCCAACAUCUCAGAUUUAAAUCCAAAUCAGGUCCAUUAAUAUUAUCCUUUGAAUGGAAAAUUUGGGUCCAAAUAGUGUUUCCUUUAGUUGGAAAGAUUCUAAGUCCAAAUUAGGUCCAAAUAGUAUUUCCUUUGGAUGGAAAAGAAACAGCCAGGAUUCAUCUGAGUAAGCAGUAGAAGUAGAGCUUUAUUCCCUUUGCAGAAGAUUAAAACCUGAGUCAUCCAUGGGAAGACUGAAUUUCCAUGUUAGAACAUCACCUUUUAUACACUUAUAAGUCCUGCCCAACUGUCUGUUUUUUUAUCCAUGACAUAAUGGUGUUCAUCCCCCUGGAUAUGUCUGGAAAAUUCCAUCAACCUGGGUCUGUCCCCUUUACUGUCUUGUCUACAUCACCCUCAGCUCCUCUGCACCUGUGGCCUGAGCACUUGUUAUCACACACUCAGUCCUUCUGCACAUGCGCUAGUCUUACUACAGAUCCCGCAGGCCUCACGGCCUGUUGUGCCUUGUGCUGGGCUUGAGCACUUCUUAUCAUUAACCUUGCUGGCUUCCUGGCCCUUGGCAGUAUGCCUAUACCUUUUCCUUUUGCUCUUCUUUCUCACACCAUUCACCCCAUUUGAAAUCUAUUUAGCUGUACUUCUAUCCUUUAAAACCUUACAUUACCUCUUUCUUACACCAUUAUGUCAUAGACGUCUUUUACUGUAUUUUUAAAUCUUUAUAAACCUUAUAAAAUGACAAAAAGCUUGUGUUACAAUCAUUCACAUAUUUUUGGUACAAACAUUACUUAUUUCUUGCUACAACUACACAUUCAAUAUUCUUCUCUACUUUAAAUCAAACCAUUAAAUCAAACUUUCACUAAAACAAUGGUGCUCUCUACUUCAUUAACAGUUUUGUGUGCUCACAUAAAAUCAACCUUACUUAAAUCAUAUUAACGAUAAAAUCAACUCUACUUGAAUACAGUGCUCAUUACUUGAUUUUUCUCUGUGUGAUUAAAAUAUAGUGCUUAUACCAUUAUUUCCAGCAUUUUGUGUGAUUAAUAGAAUUUUUAGCAUAUAAUAGUCAUCCGCAUGCAUUAGAUUAUAUACUACAGUCUCUAGUGGUGCAAAUAUUUUAAAAAAGCAUUGCAUGGUUGACUCCAUCCCAGCCUACCAAAUGAAAAUUUUACACAUGUCUGUUUGUGUUCAUCCAGUUGAACCUGACAGAGCUGAGGACGUUCCUCGACUGGAAGGUUUCCAAAAUGAGCAAGGUAAUAUUUUACAGUGACAUCUUGUUAUGUUUCUCAAGAUUAAUGGCUGGCUACCAUGAAGCCAAAAAGCUGGCAAUAUGUCUGUCCUAAUGUCCUAACCACUGGCAAUGGAGUGGGACCAGGGCACUGUCAGGGAACACCAGAGCGAUUCAAGCUGUUAGGGUCACAUAAUUGUUUCCUUUUAUGAUUAUUGUUAU